AACGGACGAGCCCGCAAGAAGCCACCCGCCCAGCCCGCAUUCACCGGUACCGACCAGGCACCCAGCGCCACCCGGA
rnacentral:misc_RNA from 1 species